CGAAUUCAUCGUGGCUUGUGAUGGGAUUAACAGUAAAAAUCGGAGCUAUUUUAAAUUUCUUCCUGACAGGAAGAACAAAAAGAGAAGACAAAAUGCAUCUUUCUAAAGCCCCUCCAACAGUGUGAACACAUAAUAAAAUACAAUAUUUGCGAGUUAUUAAUUAAAGCUUGACUCCGAAGAAAGUCUGUUUAAGUAUACACAUGUGGUGUCCUUCAGCAGGAAAAAAUAUCAUAGGAAUUUGUUUUUUCAGUUUGAGUUGUGACGAGCUUUUCAAAGCAUCAAGAGGCAAGUGUAUCAACAAGUAAAAGAAACAUCGAGCAUGCAUUUAUUUUAAUCUUGCUCUGGGUGCCAGCGAGCAUACCAAACCUUGACCUUUUCAAAGGGUGACUACACUUGAAUAUGACAAGGAAUUAAGGAUUACAAUCUCAAAAGUUUCAGGUCUUUUGACCAUAUAGAAGUUUUGAUGGCAGCUGUAAAACAGGGACACAUAUGUUUGGUUACAAAGGAUAUAAAGACCCCAACCUGUGGUACCAUGCCUUGCUUGUGUUUCUCCUUUCUUCUUCUCCAGUGACUUUCAAAGCUUCUUUCUUGUCCUCCCUUAUCCCUUGGAAACACACCCUGCCGAUUUUCUCUCGGAUCAGAAGCAUGGACAACAAAAAUGGCACCCCAGAGGAGAAAGGAAAUGCUAGCCUUCCACCAAGAAGGGGUCAAAUCAAAGCCAAAAUUGGUGAAGACCUAAAGACAUUUAUAACAGGAUGGGUAGGGGGAAAGAGUGAUAAAGAUGGUGGCAAAAACUUGAUCUAUUUUCCAGAAAGUGGCUCUUGCUCCAAGUAAACAUGGUCAACUGGCUGUGUUAUUCUUAGUCUAGUAUCUCAAGAGAGGAAAAUGAGGGGGCGGCGGGGAUGGGGUUUGUGGGUGUUUAGAUUAGCUCGCAUAUAAUUUGGUUAAUUUUACCGGAUUUGAAGUUAAUAAUUAUAUAAAUCUUCAGUAAUCUUGAAAAACUCGAACUCAUAACUAUUAAAAAUAAAUUUAAAAUUUUAUCAGAUCUCAGGAUUGGAUGGGUUUUUUUCAGCAGUAUGUGUUGUUGUUAGAACUUGCUUGGGAGUUGGGAAGUUGUCACCGUGCAAGCACUCCUUUCUUUGCCAUUUCCUGCACUUAUUUUGUAAUUUAUGUAAUGCAUGUAUGUGGAUCCCCCUGUUUCUUUCUCUGAACUGUCAGCUCUCGGUGGUUUAUUUAUUAA